UUGGAGAACAAGACUUCAAGUAGCAUACUUGAAGGAUUUGAAGACUUCACCUUGUAUACUUGCAGUAUUUGAUGACUUCAACU
rnacentral:pre_miRNA from 1 species